UUUAAAUCACCACUUUUAUUACCCAGCAUAACAACUAAGAGUGUGGCCUCUGAUCAACCUGCCCGGACUGGUUUCCCUACUUUGCAACUUCUCACUAUAUAAUCUCAGGUCCUCCAUCCCUUGUUACUCCCCACUAAAUCCUGCCUAUACCUUCAUUAAACUCUUCGAAUAACCCAUACUGAGUGUGCUGGACUCCGCUACAGAUGGUUUAUGCUGCAGUGCCAUUCUGUCCCUACCACCCACGUCCCCAUGCCAGAUAUAUUUUCUAAAUCUGUGGUGAGAAGAGACAGGAAGGGGAGAUAGGGGCCAUUUCCUACCACAGUUUCAGGCAUGAGUCUUCCAGCAUGCCCUUCUUGGAGAUUACAUGGGCAGCUUACCCUGGGGCAGCCAGACCUUCCAUCUUAGGUAACAGACCCCAGUGUUUAGGCCGUCUGCCCGUGUGGACUCUACACCAUUUCUCUCCCCUGAUGUAUGAGGACUGAAUGAAGAGAUGGCCCAUCUCAACGAGGCAAACAAAUAAAAAACAAGGUCACUAAUUCUGAAGAAGCAGAGUGAAAAGACAUCGACCUGAAACAGAGCAUUAAGAAGAGUCAAGAAAUGCAGCACUUCAGAAUAGGGCUCUCACAACAUCGAUAUGAAGCUGAAAAGUUACCCCAAAGCUGAGCAUCUUAAUGUUGAAGCAAUGCUGGUGAUCAUCGCCUGCAACUUUCCAUUUUGUUACCAUAUUCCUGAGAGGGGGACAACCAUCCUCUGAACACCAACAAGAACAGGGAGUUCUCUCUCAAGAGAGCAGCCCACCUCAUUCAACAGCUCUAAUAACUAAAAUGCCUGCAGUUAUAUAGGGGUAUGACUUGGUCAUUUGUCUUCCAGACACGGAAGAAGUACAUGGCCAUGCUCCCAUUAUCUAAAUUCAGCCACUAAAGAGUAAGUUUCUUCUCCAGUCUAACAUGCAUCAAAGUCUUCAUUGUGCUUAUAUGAAUUCUUAUUUAUCUAUGUUCUUUUUAAAAAGUAAAGCCCAAACUGGAAUAAGUUAGAUGUGGUAUGACCGAGAAAAGUAGAAGUAACCUGG
rnacentral:lncRNA from 10 species